AUGACCUAUGAGGCGUACGAUAUCAACGGCUACACAUUCUACACCGAGAACAAGGACAUGAAGAGCGAUGGUUAUCAGAACUCCGGGGUAACGAUGGAAUCCUACACCGGUAACGACAAGGACAAAUACUACGGAAGGAUCGAGGAGAUCUGGGAGCUGAGCUACGUUGGAGAGAAGGUCUCGAUGUUCGGUGUCAUAUGGGCCAAGAGCGUCCUAAAAGAAGACCGGUAUUUCACCAUCAUGGUUAUACCCGAAGCCAAAUCCAAGACCGCGGGCGCAAAUGUCACCGCGAAAAAUGAGCCAUGGGUACUAGCUUCCCAAGUGGACCAAUGCUUCUUCAUUACCGACCCGUCAAAGCCCAGUCGUGUUGUCGUGAGGAGAGGCAAAAGGAAGAUCAUCGGAAUGGAUAGAGUAGCCAAUGAGCAAGACUUCGACAAGUACGGCGACCCGAAGAUUGAACAUGACGACGACGAUGAAGUAGCAGCAUACACCACAAGAAGAAGCAGGACCACCCUACCUAAAGGACGUCUGUUCCACAGAAUAACUCCAUUUGCAAAAAAGAAUGACAAGAAGAUUAUGAACAGAUAG
rnacentral:rRNA from 1 species